rnacentral:rRNA from 1 species
CCUGAUGCAGCAACGCCGCGUGAGGGACGACGGCCUUCGGGUUGUAAACCUCUUUUAGCAGGGAAGAAGCGAAAGUGACGGUACCUGCAGAAAAAGCGCCGGCUAACUACGUGCCAGCAGCCGCGGUAAUACGUAGGGCGCAAGCGUUAUCCGGAAUUAUUGGGCGUAAAGAGCUCGUAGGCGGUUUGUCGCGUCUGCUGUGAAAACUGGAGGCUCAACCUCCAGCCUGCAGUGGGUACGGGCAGACUAGAGUGCGGUAGGGGAGAUUGGAAUUCCUGGUGUAGCGGUGGAAUGCGCAGAUAUCAGGAGGAACACCGAUGGCGAAGGCAGAUCUCUGGGCCGUAACUGACGCUGAGGAGCGAAAGGGUGGGGAGCAAACAGGCUUAGAUACCCUGGUAGUCCACCCCGUAAACGUUGGGAACUAGUUGUGGGGUCCAUUCCACGGAUUCCGUGACGCAGCUAACGCAUUAAGUUCCCCGCCUGGGGAGUACGGCCGCAAGGCUAAAACUCAAAGGAAUUGACGGGGACCCGCACAAGCGGCGGAGCAUGCGGAUUAAUUCGAUGCAACGCGAAGAACCUUACCAAGGCUUGACAUAUACGAGAACGGGCUAGAAAUAGUCAACUCUUUGGACACUC